rnacentral:rRNA from 1 species
CAGUCGCCGCGGUAAUACGAAGGGUGCAAGCGUUACUCGGAAUUACCGGGCGUAAAGCGUGUGUAGGUGGUUGUUUAAGUCUGCCGUGAAAGCCCUGGGCUCAACCUGGGAAUUGCGAUGGAUACUGGGCGACUAGAGUGCGGUAGAGGAUAGUGGAAUUUCCGGUGUAGCAGUGAAAUGCGUAGAGAUCGGAAGGAACAUCUGUGGCGAAGGCGACUAUCUGGGCCAACACUGACACUGUGGCACGAAAGCGUGGGAGCAAACAGGAUUAGAUACCCGUGUAGUCCCUGUCUCUUAUACA